rnacentral:rRNA from 1 species
ACACGUGGGCAACCUGCCUGUAAGACUGGGAUAACUUCGGGAAACCGGAGCUAAUACCGGAUAAUCCUUUCCCUCACAUGAGGGAAAGCUGAAAGACGGUUUCGGCUGUCACUUACAGAUGGGCCCGCGGCGCAUUAGCUAGUUGGUGAGGUAACGGCUCACCAAGGCAACGAUGCGUAGCCGACCUGAGAGGGUGAUCGGCCACACUGGGACUGAGACACGGCCCAGACUCCUACGGGAGGCAGCAGUAGGGAAUCUUCCGCAAUGGACGAAAGUCUGACGGAGCAACGCCGCGUGAGCGAUGAAGGCCUUCGGGUCGUAAAGCUCUGUUGUCAGGGAAGAACAAGUACCGGAGUAACUGCCGGUACCUUGACGGUACCUGACCAGAAAGCCACGGCUAACUACGUGCCAGCAGCCGCGGUAAUACGUAGGUGGCAAGCGUUGUCCGGAAUUAUUGGGCGUAAAGCGCGCGCAGGCGGUUCCUUAAGUCUGAUGUGAAAGCCCCCGGCUCAACCGGGGAGGGUCAUUGGAAACUGGGGAACUUGAGUGCAGAAGAGGAGAGCGGAAUUCCACGUGUAGCGGUGAAAUGCGUAGAGAUGUGGAGGAACACCAGUGGCGAAGGCGGCUCUCUGGUCUGUAACUGACGCUGAGGCGCGAAAGCGUGGGGAGCGAACAGGAUUAGAUACCCUGGUAGUCCACGCCGUAAACGAUGAGUGCUAAGUGUUAGAGGGUUUCCGCCCUUUAGUGCUGCAGCAAACGCAUUAAGCACUCCGCCUGUGGGAGUACGGCCGCAAGGCUGAACUCAAAGGAAUUGACGGGGGCCCGCACAAGCGGUGGAGCAUGUGGUUUAAUUUCGAAGCAACGCGAAGAACCUUACCAGGUCUUGACA